ensembl:lncRNA
UAAAAAUCACACUCUGGAGCUAGGUGAGACAGUGGGCAUUGAUACUUCCAACUACUGGGGGGGCUGAGGCAGGAGAACUACUAAGGCCCAGGAGUUCAGAGCCAGACUGGACAACACAGCAAGACUCAUCUCAGAAAGAAAAGAAAACCCAGCUCAUACACAAUCAGAUGCAAUUCCUCCUACCGACCCCACUGAAGGCUGUAGUUGCUACAGUACUGUGGAUCCAACUCAAGACCUUGCACUUGCGAGGCAGGCGCAGCGCCCGCCACUGAGCUAAAUCUCCGGCCCCGAAGGACGUUUAUUGAACACUGCUCUGUGUCAGCCACCUCCUUCCAGCCUCUCUGACCUGAAGACCAGGUCUGCAAAGAAGGCCAGAGAAGCCCAGAGCCACUGCAGAGCACCAGGGGAAAAACAAUGGGGAAACACAGAAGAUGCUGCUGAGAAAACUGAAGCAACGAGAAGAGACUGCCACAGUUCCUACACCACUGCCGCCCACAGGCAUCUGUGAACCAAGUCUGAUCAGUGUCCAUGCCACGAGCUCUGGUUGGGCCUCCACCCUCUUCUGCUCAAGAUUGGUUUAGCAGCCCCCAAGUCCUACAUUGUCUCUUUCAUUUCUGCCCAUGUAUCGAUCACCCCAUCAAUUUACAGACAUGCUGUGAUUUUUCUGAACUUACGAUGUUUUCUUGACUCUCUUGCCAGCAGUCCCAGGCUGCUUUUUCCUCUGCUGUGCAGUGAAACUCCUUUUGUGUGUUGUCUGCCCUGCUGACCACUGACUGAUGGCUCCAUGUGGCUCAACCUCAUGGUCAGGUCCCACCUGAAGCAGUGUAACUCUCCUCUCACACACGC